GUUGGCCCGAAGAAGGGGGGGCCGUGCUGAGGCCGCGCGGAGGGCCUGGACGCGAGUCUGCAGAGGGCGAGCUGCUGACCUUCCGUGUAGGGCGCUAAAGCGAGGGACGAAAGCCCGCGGCGGCCACUCGGGAUCCGUCGCUCCUUGAAGAGAAUGAAAAGAGAGAGAAAGUGUAUGAGCGUGAGAAGGGGCAGAAGAAGACGGGAAGCGAAUUCUCAAGUAGAUCCCCGCGGAGUGCUGAGCCUACCUGGGACUCACCCAAGGACCCUGAGAUCAUGACCUGAGACAGAAUCAAGAGUCAGCUGCCUAACCAACGGAGCUGCCCAGGGGCGCCCGGUCAACAUUUAAAGAGGAGGUUUUCUUGUUCUAUCCCAGAAAGCCAAGCAAAUUCCCAUGAAGCCAUCUGUUAUCUCUUCCAUACUGCAUUUUUCUAAGAUAAAUGCAUAAAAUGCCUUACAAUCAUUUAA